rnacentral:misc_RNA from 1 species
CUGCGAGUUCGCGGGAGAGUAGGUUAUUGCCAGGGUUUUUAUUUUUAUACUUUAACCUUUGAUUUUAUUUUUAUGUUUUUUAAAUAUUGGUGUUUUUGAAUGUGUUGUUUAAAUAACAUAAAAAAUAAAAUAUAUAUAUUGACAUGCAUUAAACAAAGAUAUAUAUUAUUUUAUGUUGUAUAAAUAAAUUGGCAAAAUAGGGAUGGAGGAUAAAAAUAUGGUCAAAGUAAUAAGAGUCUAUGGUGAAUGCCUAGGA